UAGCGCAGCCACCCGCAGUCCCGCACGACCUUGCCUCCUCGAUCCCAUCUCGACAUCCAUCCCGCCGCCACCUCCUGCCCCGCCCCACCGUGCGCCGCCCGCCGCCGCCGCGCCUGCGCCGACGUCCCCCGUAUCCAUGCUCCUCUGUCCGAAUCCCGCCGCCGCGCCCGUCCCGCUCACCGUGGCCGAUGAUCGUUUCCCUCCCCAAACGGCGGCCAUAAUGAAGGGCGUCGCCCAGCUCCUGACCGGCGGACGGACUCGCCGGGUCCCCGCUCCUCGGGGCCAGCCCCUCCUCCGUGGAUCGCGCAUCGGCUUGGAGGCCCCUCGGGGCUGCCGCCGGUGCGGGAGUUCCUGCGCGGCCGUGCGGGCUGCGGACCGAGCGGCGGGGCCCGUGUGCGUUCCCGGCGAAGGCUUGCUGGGGCUGGCCGGGAUCUGAGGUUGGUUGAUAUGUUCAUGUAAAGAUUGACACUCCUUCUUUUUCGUUUUUAUCUUCUUCCCAGUUCACGUGCAGGGACUAGAUUGCUGGCUAGAUCUUCCUAACUGAACCACUUGAUGUUAAACUCUGUACGUGUAUAGCUAGAUUGCCUGCUAGAUCUUGCUUUAUAAAUUAUUCAUUGCCUUCCAUACAAAGGUUCUGGUUUUGACUUUUGUUUCAGAUAUUAAUUUUUGUUCUAGCUCUUUUUUGUACAGACAAUGUGUGUGCUGUUUAAACGAUGAUUAUGACAUUGCGAGGCCUGGUCCAUGAUGCAGUUCCACCUCUCUCCGUAGCACAAAACCUUUCUUGCCACACAUUAUGCAAGUCAUCCUCAUUGAUCAUACAUUUAUAAUUUCUUCACGGUUCGGUAUAUCACAUAUAUUAGGAUGUUAACGCCACUCAUGGGUUGGAUGCUAUAGCAUAAGGAAAAUUGAUAGCCAGCCAUGAUCGUCCAUCCAUCAAUUUAGUUUGCUUUUUCUUCUGUUGUUAGUUUCUACUACUUUGCUAGCUAAGUGAUGUCUAUCUGAAGCUGUGAACCUUAUGAACCCUGAUCUGAAUCUUGGUGUUUGCGAAUUCUGAAUGAAGGGCAUGGAACCAGUCCUUCUAAAUGAAUUUGCUGAUGAGUGUGUUGCAUUGUUGAUUUCAUGGUUAUUCUUCUUUUUGAAUACAUGGCUAUUCUUGGGUUUGAGCCAUAGGCAUGCAGCAAUGAAAUCUAAUUGCAUUGAUGCCGAGAGGCGAGAGGAAAGUUCUCGCCUUGGGCUUGAUCCAGGUCAGGGAGGAUUGGAGAUUGAAUGAAUUUGCUGGGCUUUUCACACUAAUUUAAGGCAGAUAAAAUGAAAAUUAGUUAGAAAAUAGAAGUGACUGGAUAGGGAGAGAGAGAGACUUGUUCGAAACAGAGUGGGGUUGGGAAUAUGACAAAUUUUCAGCUAUGACAAUGAGCAAUAAUUAAACUAUCUGGUGGUUAUGUUGUUCAGCAGGCUGAGUGCACACAAAAUCACUCCAUUCGUUGGAAUAAAAUGAGAAGGCGCGGUGCACACAGACGCUGGUGAAUCCAAGACGCGGCGACUUCUCGGUCCUGCCAUCUAACUAUUGCAUUUACGAGUGAUGCAAUUUUUAAACGGGUUUGGUUUCUGUCAAUAAAUUAAACAUGAAUGAGUCUCCAAAAAUAAAAUACUAUUGCAAAAGGGCCCGUGCGUUGCAACGGGACAAAAAAACAUAUCACAAUCUUCAAUGUAAUUAUGUAACACUUAUUUAAUUUAUUUUUUUCAAACGUCAGAAAUAAAGCUACAUUAAGUAUUUCUUUU